UGGGGAAUAUUGGACAAUGGGCGCAAGCCUGAUCCAGCCAUGCCGCGUGAGUGAUGAAGGCCCUAGGGUUGUAAAGCUCUUUCACCGGUGAAGAUAAUGACGGUAACCGGAGAAGAAGCCCCGGCUAACUUCGUGCCAGCAGUGGCGGUAAUACGAAGGGGGCUAGCGUUGUUCGGAUUUACUGGGCGUAAAGCGCACGUAGGCGGACUUUUAAGUCAGGGGUGAAAUCCCGGGGCUCAACCCCGGAACUGCCUUUGAUACUGGAAGUCUUGAGUAUGGUAGAGGUGAGUGGAAUUCCGAGUGUAGAGGUGAAAUUCGUAGAUAUUCGGAGGAACACCAGUGGCGAAGGCGGCUCACUGGACCAUUACUGACGCUGAGGUGCGAAAGCGUGGGGAGCAAACAGG
rnacentral:rRNA from 1 species